rnacentral:rRNA from 1 species
AUUGAACGCUGGCGGCAGGCCUAACACAUGCAAGUCGAACGAGAGGCGGACGGGUGAGUAAUGGCUGGGAAACUGCCUGAUGGAGGGGGAUAACUACUGGAAACGGUAGCUAAUACUGCAUAACAUCAGAUGUGCCCAGAUGGGUUUAGCUAGUUGGUGGGGUAACGGGUCACCACGGCGACGAUCCCUAGCUGGUCUGAGAGGGUGACCAGCCAAAUGGGAACUGAGACACGGUCCAGACUCCUACGGUAGGCAGCAGUGGGGAAUAUUGCACAAUGGGCGCAAGCCUGAUGCAGCCAUGCCGCGUGUAUGAAGAAGGCCUUCGGGUUGUAAAUUACUUUCAUCGGGGAGGCGUUACCAGCCGAAGAAGCACCGGCUAACUCCGUGCCAGCAGCCGCGGUAAUUC